GCCUGGCUGGCUCAGUCGGAGGACUGUGUGUGACUCUUGAUCUCAGGGUUGUGGGUUCAAGCCCCACGUUGGGUG
rnacentral:tRNA from 1 species